UCCCCUCACAGUUUUCAUCCAGCCCAUAAUUUAUUCCAAACAAGAGGAUUUUCUGCUCAAAUAUAAGAAAAACCUACCGGGAUACUUUUAUGACUCAACUUUUUGCUUCUCUCUAUACUUCUGAACUUCCUUGCAGUGAUUUCAUUACCAUAUACCACUCGCCAUAACAAAUUUUCUGUUGUUUACACUAAGCUAUCUUGUUUUUACAGCCAGUGUUACUCAGGGUCUGAGUGAAAAGGUGUCCAAGUGCUGUGACCUGAAGGCCUACAACCCAGUCAAUGAAAUGUGUUGUCAAUCAACCAUCAUAUCAAAACCUGGACCAAUGGCUGAAUGCUGUGUUAAAGAUGUUUUUGAUGAGGACAAGCAGUUGUGUUGUGGUCCAGCUGAUAAUAAGACAAUUCUGGUGAGGAAUUCCCGUCACCAUGAGUGCUGUGGUCACAGCCAGUACGACACUGAGACUCAGUGCUGCUGUUCAAAUGAGGAGAAGAUGGAGAUACAAUCGAAGGAUUCAUCCUGCUGUGUCAAGAAUUUCACUCCAGGCCUUUCAAGUGGAAAUACCACCUUCAACAAACCUUCACCAAAGCAUGGAUAUUGUGGUGAAGAGAUUUACGAUAUGGAAAAUAAGUUGUGUUGUGGUCCAAAUAAUGAUAAAAAGAUCCUGACAAAGAAGUCCAGAGAUCAUGUGUGCUGUCAUCAUGGCCAGUUCAACGUCAAAACUGAGUGCUGCUGUUAUAACAAUCAUAUUGCUGAAGUACAGUUGACGAAUUCAUCUUGCUGUAUGAAACAGCAGAUAUUCAAGCUCCAACCCAAAUGCACUGAACCAAACACACAUCUCUGUGGGUCGUCGUGUUACAAUCCAAAGCAAAAUCGCUGCUGUGAGAGUAACCACGAGCCUCACUCACUUGACAACUCAGGUCAAAGGAAGGCCACAGCCACCGUGUACAACCCACAUACUCAGGUCUGCUGUGAUGGACGUGUAUCUCCGUGGAAGCCUUGGAUCGAUCAGUGCUGUGGAGAGACGCCGUAUGGCUCGGCACAACGUGGAGUUCUCUGUUGUAAUAAGACCUUGUACGAGGACAGAGAUGAUGGAGAGGAAUGUUCAGAGAUGGGUAUUCCUUACAACCCGGCUAAAGGGACCAUAUGUUGUUCUCAGUUUCAUGGCAGCCCAGGACAACACUGCUGUGGGACAGAAAUUUACCGGCCUCGUACUGAGAUCUGCUGCAAUGGACACAGACAUCUGAAAUCAGAAAACAUUCACUGCUGUGGGGUCAAAGCCUACAACAUUAAAGACCCACAGAUGAAGUGCUGUGCAGGAACACUGUACAAUCUGACAUCAUUAGACAAGCAUGGAGGGGAUGCGCAGUGCUGCGGAUCCAUUCUGCAAAAGCCACAGGACAUUUGCUGCUCAAGUGAGGACAAAGAGGUGCUCUACUCUGCCAAAAUAGGGUUCAGAUGCUGUGGUCACCUUUACUAUAACACCACCCUGUGGUCAUGCUGUGCUGGGGGGCUGAGAAGAAUCCGUGAACCAGGACAGGAUCAGAGAAAGAUGAUUAAUGGAUCCAGACUUCUAUCUGUGAAUAAUCUGAACAAAAUCGAUCUUUGCAAAGAAAUGCACAUUGGGACUGUGGAAAGUGUGUCGCUGCAGAGCAUUGUGUUCAGGAGUGUGCUGAAGGUCCAUGGGAUGGAGGCCAAAGUGAAAGCUCUGCCAUUCCCUUACAUCCUGGAAAGAGAUGAUCGCUGCAGCUCCCCUAAACUGAUUGCUGGGAAGACCUACUACUUUAACAAAGUUAAUGUUUUCAUUGAUUUCAAUCAUGACUCUGUUCUUCAGUCACUCCAUUUCAUUAUUUGCAAAUGUUCAUCUCAGGUCACCACUGGCUGAUGUAUACAUGGUCAGUGUGGAUCUGUUGCUCCCUUCUUUGAACAAGUUCUCUUUUUUCACAUAUUUACUCACAGUGUUGGCUUUGUCACACAGAAAAUUAAUUAAUUACACAUCACAUUAUACUGGUUAACAUUAUUUUACAAAGUAAUUUGUUACCAUAUUUAUUACAGAGUACUUGUUGCAUUGCAACCUAAUAUACUCACCCCAAAUUACUCUCUGAUGCACCCAUCACAGUGUGAAUGUUUGCUUGAACUUAAACACAGAAAGAAGUCGUUGUAUGAAUGUGUGAAUGAGGGACGUUGUAUCAAGCGCUUUGAGUGCUCAGGUAGGGUAGAAAAGUGUUAUAUAGAAGAACCUGUCCAUUUAUCAGUAGUAUACAAUACUUCACAUGAUAUGUUGUUUAUACAUUACUCUGCCUAUGUCCAGCCAAACCAUGUUGCUCUGUUGUUAACACAUCCCAAGAUGUCUUAUCACAGACAGAAUUUAGGUACUUUAAGUAAAGAAAACAAAAAACAAUGUAGCUUUUAACUUCAGUUUUACAGGGACUCACAUUGUAGUGAUUCACACAACUUGACAUUAAUCAAUACUGUAACACAGUAAGCUGGUGCACAAUGUUGUUUCUCAAAUCUAAAUUUGAACAAAAUCUAAAUGUAACUUUGAUUCUUGCACUGAUCUAAAAUACAAGGGACAACUGUGUGCACAUGUCCUUGAACCAUACAAUUCAAUACUUGUGGUAAAGUCCAUGAUUUACUGUGAUUGUUAAUUCUAAUGAAUGAUAAACACUUAAUGCCAAUAUCAUGAAUACAAAUAUGUUAGAAGGACCCACUAAAAAUUCCAUUAGUUUCUGUUUCUUUGAAUGUGAUUCAUGUAAAAUAGUUAAUGGUAAGGAUAGGUAUGGGAAUUUAAGAAUGGUAAGGAAUCUAGUAAGGACUUGAGGGACAUUUAAGCUAUAAGCAAACAUAAACACUGCCUGCUUGAUUUAGUGACUUUGUUGUUAAUAUAAUAUAUUGCAUAUAUAUAUUGUAAAUGUUUAAUAUUUGAAUGGACCUAUUAUCCUUUAAGGAUUCAAAUAAAUAAAUACAAACACUUAUUAAACCUGCUGUGUUUUCUCUUG
rnacentral:lncRNA from 1 species